GAUGAAGAACGUAGCGAAAUGCGAUAAGUAAUGUGAAUUGCAGAAUUCAGUGAGUCAUCGAAUCUUUGAACGCACAUUGCGCCCGCCAGCAUUCUGGCGGGCAUGCCUGUUCGAGCGUCAUUUCAACCCUCGAGCCCCCCCGGGGGCCUCGGUGUUGGGGGACGGCACACCAGCCGCCCCCGAAAUGCAGUGGCGACCCCGCCGCAGCCUCCCCUGCGUAGUAGCACACACCUCGCACCGGAGCGCGGAGGCGGUCACGCCGUAAAACGCCCAACUUUCUUAGAGUUGACCUCGGAUCAGGUAGGAAUACCCGCUGAACUUAAGCAUAUCAAUAAGCGGAGGA
rnacentral:misc_RNA from 1 species